UGAAUCACAACUCUCUACGUGUUCCCUGGAUUGGAAGGAUGAUGCUCUCGAUAGGGAUCUAUACAUACAAACGAGUACUGUUACGAUUUUGGCAAUGGACGGGAGAAGGCGCUGGUUGGACAUAGAGUUAUUGGGGUCAAAUGGAAAGAACCACUUUAUCUUUGUUACAAAUCUGGCGCCCUGUUCUGGAGUAAGACUCCAUCUAUGGCCUGAGAAGGAGAAAUCAAAUUCAAAUUUACCGGUUUGUGAAAGGGUCGUAGAAGUUACAUCAAAGAUGGUUCUCAUCCCUGCAGGCCCUGCACCAAAA